rnacentral:misc_RNA from 1 species
AAGUCGUAACAAGGUUUCCGUAGGUGAACCUGCGGAAGGAUCAUUAACACGUAUCCACGUUAUCAACCAAUUGUGAACUUGUUUUCAAUCUCCCUACACAUCAUGACAUGAGUUGAGUUUCUGACGAAAGAUGAAUGGGAAUCGUAUGACGAAUGUUGGUUUACUCCUUCCUACAUCAUGCGAUUCGUUCGGACGAAAUCACUUGUCGCUUGCGACAGACAACUGUAGUAGAUGUGUGGGUCCAAUUUCUAUUAGCAAUACUUCGCCUUUCAUGAGGUUACUAAUAGGGAGCUUUAAACCUAAAUCACCAUAAUUUUUGCUAGUUGACUUUUAUCUGUUACUCUUCUCGUGCGUACUUUAUUGAACGUCCGAAGGAUGACACGUUUAUUAUUUGAACGUUAAAAUUACAACUCUUAGCAAUGGAUAUCUUGGUUCUC